UGGAGCCUGAAACCCGACCUAGGUGAUCAGAGAUGUGGUGUGUGCCUCAGGAUUAUAGGUGAUCAGAGAUGUGGUGUGUGCCUCAGGAUUAUAGGUGAUCAGUGAUGUGGUGUGUGCCUCAGGAUUAUAGGUGAUCAGUGAUGUGGUGUGUGCCUCAGGAUUAUAGGUGAUCAGUGAUGUGGUGUGUGCCUCAGGAUUAUAGGUGAUCAGUGAUGUGGUGUGUGCCUCAGGAUUAUAGGUGAUCAGAGAUGUGGUGUGUGCCUCAGGAUUAUAGGUGAUCAGUGAUGUGGUGUGUGCCUCAGGAUUAUAGGUGAUCAGUGAUGUGGUGUGUGCCUCAGGAUUAUAGGUGAUCAGAGAUGUGGUGUGUGCCUCAGGAUUAUAGGUG